rnacentral:rRNA from 1 species
CCUACGGGGUGCAGCAGUGGGGAAUAUUGGACAAUGGGGGAGACCCUGAUCCAGCGACGCCGCGUGAGUGAAGAAGUAUUUCGGUAUGUAAAGCUCUAUCAACAGGGAAGAAAAUGACGGUACCUGACUAAGAAGCCCCGGCUAACUUCGUGCCAGCAGCCGCGGUAAUACGUAGGGAGCAGGCGUUAUCCGGAUUUACUGGGUGUAAAGGGAGCGUAGAUGGUGCAGCAAGUCUGAUGUGAAAGGUUGGGGCUCAACCCUGGGAUUGCAUGGGAAACUGUUGAACGGGAGUACAGGAGAGGUAAGCGGAAUUCGUGGUGUAGCGGUGAAAUGCGUAGAUAUUAGGAGGAACACCAGGGGCGAAGGCGGCUUACUGGACUGUAACUGACGUUGAGGCUCGAAAGUGUGGGGAGCAAACAGGAUUAGAUACCCGUGUAGUC